rnacentral:rRNA from 1 species
UGGGGAAUUUUGGACAAUGGGCGAAAGCCUGAUCCAGCAAUGCCGCGUGUGUGAAGAAGGCCUUCGGGUUGUAAAGCACUUUUGUCCGGAAAGAAAUCCUUGGCUCUAAUACAGUCGGGGGAUGACGGUACCGGAAGAAUAAGCACCGGCUAACUACGUGCCAGCAGCCGCGGUAAUACGUAGGGUGCAAGCGUUAAUCGGAAUUACUGGGCGUAAAGCGUGCGCAGGCGGUUUGCUAAGACCGAUGUGAAAUCCCCGGGCUCAACCUGGGAACUGCAUUGGUGACUGGCAGGCUAGAGUAUGGCAGAGGGGGGUAGAAUUCCACGUGUAGCAGUGAAAUGCGUAGAGAUGUGGAGGAAUACCGAUGGCGAAGGCAGCCCCCUGGGCCAAUACUGACGCUCAUGCACGAAAGCGUGGGGAGCAAACAGGAUUAGAUACCCUGGUAGUCCACGCCCUAAACGAUGUCAACUAGUUGUUGGGGAUUCAUUUCCUUAGUAACGUAGCUAACGCGUGAAGUUGACCGCCUGGGGAGUACGGUCGCAAGAUUAAAACUUAAAGGAAUUGACGAGGUCAUAGCUGUUUCCU